GGGCCCGCACAAGCGGUGGAGCAUGUGGUUUAAUUCGAUGAUACGCGAGGAACCUUACCAGGGCUUAAAUGUAAGUUGCAUGGAUCAGAGAUGAUCCUUUCUUCGGACCACUUACAAGGUGCUGCAUGGUUGUCGUCAGCUCGUGCCGUGAGGUGUCAGGUUAAGUCCUAUAACGAGCGCAACCCCUAUCGUUAGUUGCCAGCAAGUAAAGUUGGGUACUCUAGCGAGACUGCCGGUGCAAACCGAGAGGAAGGUGGGGAUGACGUCAAAUCAUCACGGCCCUUACGUCCUGGCUACACACGUGCUACAAUGGCCGGUACAGAGAGCAGCCACCACGCGAGUGGGAGCGAA
rnacentral:rRNA from 1 species